AGGUCAUAGUGAUCCGGUGGUUCUGAAUGGAAGGGCCAUCGCUCAACGGAUAAAAGGUACUCCGGGGAUAACAGGCUGAUACCGCCCAAGAGUUCAUAUCGACGGCGGUGUUUGGCACCUCGAUGUCGGCUCAUCACAUCCUGGGGCUGAAGUAGGUCCCAAGGGUAUGGCUGUUCGCCAUUUAAAGUGGUACGCGAGCUGGGUUUAGAACGUCGUGAGACAGUUCGGUCCCUAUCUGCCGUGGGCGCUGGAGAAUUGAGGGGGGCUGCUCCUAGUACGAGAGGACCGGAGUGGACGCAUCACUGGUGUUCGGGUUGUCAUGCCAAUGGCACUGCCCGGUAGCUAAAUGCGGAAGAGAUAAGUGCUGAAAGCAUCUAAGCACGAAACUUGCCCCGAGAUGAGUUCUCCCUGAGACUUUAAGUCUCCUGAAGGAACGUUAAAGACGAUGACGUUGAUAGGCCGGGUGUGUAAGCGCAGCGAUGCGUUGAGCUAACCGGUACUAAUGAACCGUGAGGCUUAACCUUACAACGCCGAAG
rnacentral:rRNA from 1 species